GCUCAAGUAGCUCAGGGGUAGAGCACACCCUUGGUAAGGGUGAGGUCGGCGGUUCAAUUCCGCUCUUGAGCUCCA
rnacentral:tRNA from 7 species